rnacentral:tRNA from 1 species
GCGAGCGUGGCGGAACUGGCAGACGCGCAGGACUUAGGAUCCUGUGGGGCAACCCGUCCGGGUUCGACUCCCGGCGCUCGCA